AGUCAUAUGCUUGUCUCAAAGAUUAAGCCAUGCAUGUCUCAGUACAAGCCAAAUUAAGGUGAAACCGCGAAAGGCUCAUUAAAUCAGUUAUGGUUCCUUAGAUCGUACCCACAUUUACUUGGAUAACUGUGGUAAUUCUAGAGCUAAUACAUGCAAACAGAGCUCCGACCGGAGACGGAAGGAGCGCUUUUAUUAGAUCAAAACCAAUCGGCGGCGGGCUUGCUCGUCGUCGUACAACCUGGUGAAUCUGAAUAACUUUCUGCUGAUCGCAUGGUCUAGCACCGGCGACGCAUCUUUCAAAUGUCUGCCUUAUCAACUGUCGAUGGUAGGUUCUGCGCCUACCAUGGUUGUAACGGGUAACGGGGAAUCAGGGUUCGAUUCCGGAGAGGGAGCCUGAGAAACGGCUACCACAUCCAAGGAAGGCAGCAGGCGCGCAAAUUACCCACUCCCGGCACGGGGAGGUAGUGACGAAAAAUAACGAUACGGGACUCAUCCGAGGCCCCGUAAUCGGAAUGAGUACACUCUAAACCCUUUAACGAGGAUCAAUUGGAGGGCAAGUCUGGUGCCAGCAGCCGCGGUAAUUCCAGCUCCAAUAGCGUAU
rnacentral:rRNA from 1 species